ensembl:antisense Gm13267 predicted gene 13267
GUUUCCUGGUCCAGAUACCCCAAGGCCUAGAGCUGAGCUACCUGAACCAGACUUUUCUUUCCGCCCCAUCUUAACUGUGACUUCUUAGACAUUUGUGAAAACUGGUAAUACACUGCAGACAAUAGUACUUUCCAGUACUUCCCCAUCUUCAAAAUAGACAUCAAGGCAUCAAGAGGUGCUGGCAAAGGGGGUCGGCUUACAAGACGGAGCUGUCAUUGGAGCGAAGAAGAAAUCAAGUGACAUUGAGUACAUCAGAGCUCUGCUCUGUUCCAUUAAGAAG